AGUAACGGCGAGUGAAGCGGUAACAGCUCAAAUUUGAAAUCUGGCCUCACGGUCCGAGUUGUAAUUUGUAGAGGAUGCUUCGAGCAUGGUCUGGCCUAAGUUCCUUGGAACAGGACGUCAUAGAGGGUGAGAAUCCCGUAUGCGGCCAGGUGCCUACGCUCAUGUGAAGCUCCUUCGACGAGUCGAGUUGUUUGGGAAUGCAGCUCAAAAUGGGUGGUAAAUUUCAUCUAAAGCUAAAUAUUGGCCAGAGACCGAUAGCGCACAAGUAGAGUGAUCGAAAGAUGAAAAGCACUUUGGAAAGAGAGUUAAACAGUACGUGAAAUUGUUGAAAGGGAAGCGCUUGCAACCAGACUUGCGCGCGGCCGAUCAUCCGGUGUUCUCACCGGUGCACUCGGCCGUGCUCAGGCCAGCAUCGGUUUUGGCGGCUGGAUAAAGGCCCUAGGAAUGUAGCUCCUCUCGGGGAGUGUUAUAGCCUAGGGUGCAAUGCAGCCUGCUGGGACCGAGGACCGCGCUUCGGCUAGGAUGCUGGCGUAAUGGUUGUAAGCGGCCCGUCUUGAAACACGGACCAAGGAGUCUAACAUCUAUGCGAGUGUUUGGGUGUCAAACCCAUACGCGUAAUGAAAGUGAACGGAGGUGAGAACCCUUAAGGGUGCAUCAUCGACCGGUCCUGAAGUUUACGGAAGGAUCUGAGUAAGAGCAUAGCUGUUGGGACCCGAAAGAUGGUGAACUAUGCCUGAAUAGGGUGAAGCCAGAGGAAACUCUGGUGGAGGCUCGCAGCGGUUCUGACGUGCAAAUCGAUCGU
rnacentral:rRNA from 1 species